rnacentral:rRNA from 1 species
UACGUAGGGUGCGAGCGUUGUCCGGAAUUAUUGGGCGUAAAGGGCUCGUAGGCGGUUUGUCGCGUCGGGAGUGAAAACCCAGGGCUUAACCCUGGGCCUGCUUCCGAUACGGGCAGACUAGAGGUAUGCAGGGGAGAACGGAAUUCCCGGUGUAGCAGUGAAAUGCGUAGAUAUCGGGAGGAAUACCGAUGGCGAAGGCAGGUCUCUGGGCUAUAACUGACGCUCAUGCACGAAAGCGUGGGGAGCAAACAGG